CACAGUCUUGGGGAGUUCUUCAUAUACCAGUCACACCCUGUACAUUUGUCUUUGCAGUCAGAACUCAACGUGAACAUGAAAUCCCCUGUUCAGUUCUUUGGGCUCCUGUUGCUCUGGUUUACAGGUGCCAGAUGUGACAUCCAGAUGACCCAGUCUCCAUCCUCCCUGCCUGCAUCUCUAGGAGACAAAGUUACCCUCAGUUGCAGGGCAAGUCAGAAUAUUAACAACAAUUUAAACUGGUAUCAGCAGAAAUCAGAUGGAACUGUAAAACGCCUGAUCUACUACACAUCCAAUUUAGAUUCUGGUGUCCCUUCAAGAUUCAGUGGUAGUGGGUCUGGGACAGAUUAUUCUCUAACCAUCAGCAGCCUAGAGUCUGAAGAUUUCGCAAUGUAUUACUGCCUGCAGUAUGAUAGUUUCCCUCCCACAGUGAUACAACAUAACAUGUAUGAUACAGAUUAUACUAAUGACUUUCUCUUUGGCUUUAGAUCUCAGACAUUAGAGAAGCUCUACCGAUAUGAACUCCACCUUCCAUUUCUGCGUUGGAAAGAGCCACUGUCUGCUGCAGGUCUUUAUAAGGAUCUCCCAACAACUGGAACAGAAGCUGUUCCUAAAGCUAUUGCUGAUGGAAAUGUAAAUGUUUGCAGCAAUUGUGGAAGUCAAUAUAGUGAUUCCUCAGAAAAGAGAAUCAACCUACUUCAUGAUUCAGUUAUAUCACUCUUGGGCAUAUAUUAA